rnacentral:rRNA from 1 species
GUUAGGAAUAUUGGACAAUGGGCGCAAGCCUGAUCCAGCCAUGCCGCGUGAGUGAUGAAGGCCUUCGGGUUGUAAAGCUCUUUAGCCGAUGAUUAUAAUGACUGUAGUCGGAAAAUAAGCCCCGGCUAACUUCGUGCCAGCAGCCGCGGUAAUACGAAGGGGGCGAGCGUUAUUCGGAAUCACUGGGCGUAAAGCGUGCGUAGGCGGCUUUGCAAGUUGGGAGUGAAAGCCCAGGGCUCAACCCUGGAAUUGCGCUCAAAACUGCAAGGCUCGAAUUCGGGAGAGGAUAGCGGAAUUGUCAGUGUAGCAGUGAAAUGCGUAGAUAUUGACAGGAACACCAGUGGCGUAAGCGGCUAUCUGGACCGAUAUUGACGCUGAGGCACGAAAGCGUGGGGAUCAAACAGGAUUAGAAACCCCUGGUAGUCC